rnacentral:misc_RNA from 1 species
GUUUAAAUGCAGAAGGCUCUCUCUGUUAUGCAAGGAAUAAAGAGUAAGACUCUCUAUGUUUCACAAGGAAUAAUGAUUAAAUAGUUCCUCAUCAAAUAAUGUUCAAGCAACCCUGCAAAACCAUGUAGUUUAAACAAAGAUGCAGAAAAAACACUUAAUUGGUUAUAACUAUAACUAGAUGAAGCCCUACAGAGCCAUUUUACCAUGCAAGUUGUAGAGAUUUAUAUAACUCAAAGAACCUGAACUUCCAAGAAGAGAAUGCACAUUGACACAUUCUUAGUUCAAUUGAUAUGACUUGCACUGAACUUGCUCCUUAAUACAGUUCUUGAGAUAAAAUAUUAAAAAGAACGUAACUGGAUUAUGCAUGGUGGCAAGUGA